UAGGGAAUCUUCCACAAUGGACGCAAGUCUGAUGGAGCAACGGCCGCGUGAGUGAAGAAGGUUUUCGGAUCGUAAAGCUCUGUUGUUGGUGAAGAAGGAUAGAGGCAGUAACUGGCCUUUAUUUGACGGUAAUCAACCAGAAAGUCACGGCUAACUACGUGCCAGCAGCCGCGGUAAUACGUAGGUGGCAAGCGUUGUCCGGAUUUAUUGGGCGUAAAGCGAGCGCAGGCGGAAGAAUAAGUCUGAUGUGAAAGCCCUCGGCUUAACCGAGGAACUGCAUCGGAAACUGUUUUCUUGAGUGCAGAAGAGGAGAGUGGAACUCCAUGUGUAGCGGUGGAAUGCGUAGAUAUAUGGAAGAACACCAGUGGCGAAGGCGACUCUCUGGUCUGCAACUGACGCUGAGGCUCGAAAGCAUGGGUAGCGAACAGGAUUAGAUACCCUGGUAGUCCAUGCCGUAAACGAUGAGUGCUAAGUGUUGGGAGGUUUCCGCCUCUCAGUGCUGCAGCUAACGCAUUAAGCA
rnacentral:rRNA from 1 species